rnacentral:rRNA from 1 species
CAGCAGUAGGGAAUCUUCCACAAUGGGCGCAAGCCUGAUGGAGCAACACCGCGUGAGUGAAGAAGGGUUUCGGGCUCGUAAAGCUCUGUUGUUAAAGAAGAACACGUAUGAGAGUAACUGUUCAUACGUUGACGGUAUUUAACCAGAAAGUCACGGCUAACUACGUGCCAGCAGCCGCGGUAAUACGUAGGUGGCAAGCGUUAUCCGGAUUUAUUGGGCGUAAAGAGAGUGCAGGCGGUUUUCUAAGUCUGAUGUGAAAGCCUUCGGCUUAACCGGAGAAGUGCAUACGGAAACUGGAUAACUUGAGUGCAGAAGAGGGUAGUGGAACUCCAUGUGUAGCGGUGGAAUGCGUAGAUAUAUGGAAGAACACCAGUGGCGAAGGCGGCUACCUGGUCUGCAACUGACGCUGAGACUACGAAAGCAUGGGUAGCGAACAGGAUUAGAUACCCUGAUAG